rnacentral:rRNA from 1 species
AGAUUGAACGCUGGCGGCAUGCUUUACACAUGCAAGUCGAACGGCAGCACGGGUGCUUGCACUUGGUGGCGAGUGGCGAACGGGUGAGUAAUACAUCGGAACGUGUCCUGAAGUGGGGGAUAACGCAUCGAAAGAUGUGCUAAUACCGCAUAUCCUCUGAGGAGGAAAGUAGGGGAUCGAAAGACCUUAUGCUUUUGGAGCGGCCGAUGUCUGAUUAGCUAGUUGGUGGGGUAAUGGCCUACCAAGGCGACGAUCAGUAGUUGGUCUGAGAGGACGGCCAGCCACACUGGGACUGAGACACGGCCCAGACUCCUACGGGAGGCAGCAGUGGGGAAUUUGGACAAUGGGCGCAAGCCUGAUCCAGCAAUGCCGCGUGAGUGAAGAAGGCCUUGGUUGUAAGCUCUUUCUAGUUGAGAAGAAAAGGACCGUAGAACUAAUAAUUGCGGCUCAGUGACGGUAUACAACGAAGAAGAAAGACACCGACGUAAACC